AAAGAAAAGAGACAAGCAUUUAAUUGUGCCUCAGCACUUGCUUGUCUGAUAACUUUUCUUUGGUUUAUCUGUCGGCUCUAAAUGUCCUUUUCUAAGAGCCUGGCUUUCUCUCUUGACUCAUCUUUCUUUAAACGAGCACUUAUUGUCCCUGAAGGACAGCUCGUUUAGAAAGAAAGAGUCAAGAGAGGAUUCCUUGAAAAAAGUGCUUUUCAUUCUUUGGCUCGUAAGGACAUAAAGAGAAAAAGCCAAAGAAUGAGCACUUUUAUUUC
rnacentral:ribozyme from 1 species